rnacentral:misc_RNA from 1 species
CGUGCUGGUGCACCGAACUGCUUCCCCCACUUUCAAUCAAUUCUUUGCUCCACGAGCUAACGUUGGAUGCAAAAUGGUGGGUUCCUGUGCUGCAUACCUAUGAGAUGGAAAUUCGUCCCUUCGGUUGUCCCUUCCAUCCGUGCAUCCUCUCGGAUGCUCGGGUGGACUAGAUAGAAGGGCUCGUGCCCCAUGGACAUCGCACGCGAUCGUUCCYAUGGACCUCGAGCUCCUUCUUGUCCUCUCGGAUGCGGAAAGUUCCUCACGGGCGUGGGGUCAUCGGCCCUUGUUCCCGAAUGUUGAAGCGUUUAUCGCUUCACACCGGAAUGACGCUCUCGCCGGACCCUUGAUGGAUGUGGAGCUCUCGGGCUACCACAAGGAUCAAGCACGGCAGACGUUGUGAAGGAAUGC